UACGAAGGGAGCUAGCGUUGUUCGGAAUCACUGGGCGUAAAGCGCACGUAGGCGGAUGUGUCAGUCAGGGGUGAAAUCCCGGAGCUCAACUUCGGAACUGCCUUUGAUACAGCACGUCUUGAGUCCGAUAGAGGUGGGUGGAAUUCCUGGUGUAGCGGUGAAAUGCGCAGAUAUCAGGAGGAACACCAGCGGCGAAGGCGGCGCUCUGGGCCGGUACUGACACUGAGGAGCGAAAGCGUGGGUAGCAAACAGG
rnacentral:rRNA from 1 species